CAGCAGCCACGGGAAUACGUAGGGGGCAAGCGUUGUCCGGAAUCAUUGGGCGUAAAGCGCGUGUAGGCGGCUCGAUAAGUCUGCUGUGAAAGUUCAGGGCUCAACCCUGAAAUGCCGGUGGAAACUGUCGAGCUUGAGUCCGGAAGAGGCAAGUGGAAUUCCUGGUGUAGCGGUGAAAUGCGCAGAUAUCAGGAGGAACACCAAUGGCGAAGGCAGCUUGCUGGGACGGUACUGACGCUGAGACGCGAAAGCGUGGGGAGCGAACAGGAUUAGAUACCCCUGUAGUCCCUGUCUCUUAUAC
rnacentral:rRNA from 1 species